GACGAACGCUGGCGGCGUGCUUAACACAUGCAAGUCGAACGAAGUGGCGAACGGGUGAGUAACGCGUAAUCAACCUGCCCUUCAGAGGGGGACAACAGUUGGAUACGACUGCUAAUACCGCAUACUGAAGGAGGGGAUUGCGUCUGAUUAGCUAGUUGGAGGGGUAACGGCCCACCAAGGCGAUGAUCAGUAGCCGGGCUGAGAGGAUGAACGGCCAAAUUGGGACUGAGACACGGCCCAGACUCCUACGGGAGGCAGCAGUGGGGAAUCUUCCGCAAUGGACGAAAGUCUGACGGAGCAACGCCGCGUGAGGGAUGACGGCCUUCGGGUUGUAAAGCUCUGUUAAUCGGGACGCGGUACCGGAAUAGAAAGCCACGGCUAACUACGUGCCAGCAGCCGCGGUAAUUC
rnacentral:rRNA from 1 species